GUGCCAGCCGCCGCGGUAAUACGAAGGUGGCAAGCGUUACUCGGAAUUACUAGGCGUAAAGGGCAGGUAGGCGGUUUGACAAGUCUGUUGUGGAAGCUCCCGGCUUAACUGGGAGAGGUCAACGGAAACUGUCAGGCUUGAGUGUAGGAGAGGGUACUGGAAUUCCCGGUGUAGCGGUGAAAUGCGCAGAGAUCGGGAGGAACACCAACGGCGAAAGCAGGUACCUGGACUAUUACUGACGCUCAGCUGCGAAAGCUAGGGGAGCAAACAGGAUUAGAUACCCGUGUAGUCC
rnacentral:rRNA from 1 species